GGGGGAUUAGCUCAGCUGGGAGAGCACCUGCUUUGCACGCAGGAGGCCAGCGGUUCGAGCCCGCUAUCCUCCACCA
rnacentral:tRNA from 1 species